rnacentral:rRNA from 1 species
CUAAGGAAGGCAGCAGGCGCGUAAAUUACCCAAUCCUAACUCAGGGAGGUAGUGACAAGAAAUAACGGACUGAGGCUACGCCUCAGGUUUGCAAUGAGUAGAAUUUAAACCCCUUUAUGAGGAUCAAUUGGAGGGCAAGUCUGGUGCCAGCAGCCGCGGUAAUUCCAGCUCCAAUAGCAUAUAUUAAAGUUGUUGCAGUUAAAAAGCUCGUAGUUGGACCUCUGGAGGACUGCCAAUGUCCGCUUCGGCGUGCGCAGCGGCGGUCUUCCAUCCUUCUGUUAACUCUUCUUGGCCUUAACUGGCUGGUUGAGGGCUCAGAUA